UAGUGUAGCGACGACCCGCUAAAUCUCGGCGAGAAGACGCUCCACCUCCGCUUGCGCCGCCAUGGAUCCUCCUAGGCUUAUCCCUUCCCUCAGGCCUUCCACCCUUCUCAUCCGACGGCUCCAGGAGGGGCACCACAGUAGCAGGCACCGGCGGCGGCACGCCACACACACGCGCCCGAACCCAACUAGCCUCCGUCGGCCGCGGCAGCCAGGCCGUGCCUCUCCUUCCACCGGUCGCGAGAUCCGCCGAUAUCAACUCCGUCCUCCAGCACUGGGUGCCCAGGAUCAACAUGCCUCCUCCCUAUCAGAAGUCACAAAAAAAGAGAUCACGAUGAUGGUGGCAAUGGGUGCCUACUUCCUCCGAUGAUGUCCCAAUCACCUGGGUGGAUAAUCGCACAUUCAGUAUCAGUUCCAUUCUCUACAAGUAGGUCUGUGUCUCUUCCCCUUUUGUGCAUCCCCUGAUUUUUUAUUGAUUCGCCUACUUGAUCCGGUCUCGUGUCGGUGUAAGGGGAGAUGAGAGGAUGAGCACCAGAGGAUCACAGGAUUGGAGGACAGAGUCAAACUGGGAGAAAGCAGAGACUUGAAAUCUAUUCUUCCUCGAGGAACAACACCCCUUGCAGAACCUGGACCUUGAGGGGCUCCGGUCACGGCAACCUGUCAGUUUGCCGGCUGCAGUCCGGUUGAACCAGCGUCCAGGGCAUUCUACCGUCAAAAUAGCCUUUGCGCUGCUUUCGUACACCCACUCUAGCCAUGUCUUCCCCUAGACAUGUGAGGAGGAGCAAGCAGGAGGACAAGGAGCAGCACGCCUCUAUCAUCUACUUUUCACUUUACAAAAUCGAAAGUAGAAUACCGUGCAAAUUUGGAGGAUAAGUGAUUACAUCUCAAGGAUUGCAAGAACACUCACCCAGGAAGCUAUCUUAUUUUCACCUUUUAAUGUGGAGUUGUACUCACAUUAAAACUUCUUGCAAGAUCUGUGCUUUGUUCUGUCUCCGGAAAUGCAUUAACUGAUGCAACUUCCUAAUUGUUGGAAGAUCAAGAAAUACAUAUCUGAGGUGAUCUUAGCAAGCUCUUGAAAAGUAAAAGAAAAACAAACUUAUUCAUAUUCAAAUGUUUAACAGGAAUUUAAAGUUUGCAUUGUGGCUGAUUUGGUAUGUAGUUUUUCUAUGCAUCUCAAUGUGAACUGUUUAUGCCCUAAACCUCAACCAUACCAUGUGUAAUUGAU